AGCAGCCGCGGUAAUUCCAGCUCCAAUAGCGUAUAUUAAAGUUGUUGCAGUUAAAAAGCUCGUAGUUGAAUUUCGGGGUUAGCAGGUCGGUCGUGCCAUUGGUAUGAACUGGUCUCGCUGAUCCCUCCCUCUUGACGAACUGUGAUGCCAUUAAUUUGGUGUCGCAGGGAAUCAGGACUGUUACUUUGAAAAAAUUAGAGUGUUUAAAGCAGGCUCACGCUUGAAUACAUUAGCAUGGAAUAAUGAAAUAGGACGUUUGAUCCUAUUUUGUUGGCUUCUAGGAUUGACGUAAUGAUUAAUAGGGAUAGUUGGGGGCAUUAGUAUUCAAUUGUCAGAGGUGAAAUUCUUGGAUUUAUUGAAGACUAACUACUGCGAAAGCAUUUGCCAAGGAUGUUUUCAUUAAUCAAGAACGAAAGUUAGGGGAUCGAAGACGAUCAGAUACCGUCGUAGUCUUAACCAUAAACUAUGCCGACUAGGGAUCGGAUGAUGUUAAUUUUUAAUGUACUCU
rnacentral:rRNA from 1 species